GCCAGACUCCUACGGGAGGCAGCAGUGGGGAAUAUUGCACAAUGGGGGAAACCCUGAUGCAGCAACGCCGCGUGAGUGAAGAAGUAUUUCGGUAUGUAAAGCUCUAUCAGCAGGGAAGAAAAUGACGGUACCUGAGUAAGAAGCCCCGGCUAACUACGUGCCAGCAGCCGCGGUAAUACGUAGGGGGCAAGCGUUAUCCGGAUUUACUGGGUGUAAAGGGAGCGUAGACGGCGAUACAAGUCUGAAGUGAAAGCCCGGGGCUCAACCCCGGGACUGCUUUGGAAACUGUGUUGCUGGAGUGCUGGAGAGGCAAGCGGAAUUCCUAGUGUAGCGGUGAAAUGCGUAGAUAUUAGGAGGAACACCGGUGGCGAAGGCGGCUCACUGGACUGUAACUGACGUUGAGGCUCGAAAGCGUGGGGAGCAAACAGGAUUAGAUACCCCAGUAAG
rnacentral:rRNA from 1 species